ensembl:snRNA U5 U5 spliceosomal RNA
AAGCUCUUGCUUCUCUUCAGAUCGUAUAAAUCUUUCGCCUUUUACUAAAGAUUUCCGUGGAGAGAAGUAUCAGGAGUCGAAUUCCAAUUUUUGAUUCCCCACUGUCUCGUGGGGU